CCUACGGGAGGCUGCAGUGAGGAAUAUUGGUCAAUGGACGAGAGUCUGAACCAGCCAAGUAGCGUGAAGGAUGACUGCCCUAUGGGUUGUAAACUUCUUUUAUAUGGGAAUAAACUGUUCCACGUGUGGGCUUUUGUAUGUACCAUAUGAAUAAGGAUCGGCUAACUCCGUGCCAGCAGCCGCGGUAAUGCGGAGGAGCCGAGCGUUAUCCGGAUUUAUUGGGUUUAAAGGGAGCGUAGGUGGAUUGUUAAGUCAGUUGUGAAAGUUUGCGGCUCAACCGUAAAAUUGCAGUUGAAACUGGCAGUCUUGAGUACAGUAGAGGUGGGCGGAAUUCGUGGUGUAGCGGUGAAAUGCUUAGAUAUCACGAAGAACUCCGAUUGCGAAGGCAGCUCACUGGACUGCAACUGACACUGAGGCUCGAAAGUGUGGGUAUCAAACAGGAUUAGAUACCCCAGUAGUC
rnacentral:rRNA from 1 species